GUCCACGCCGUAAACUAUGAGAGCUAGCCGUCGGCAAGUACACUUGUCGGUGGCGCAGCUAACGCAUUAAGCUCUCCGCCUGGGGAGUACGGUCGCAAGAUUAAAACUCAAAGGAAUUGACGGGGGCCCCGCACAAGCGGUGGAGCAUGUGGUUUAAUUCGAAGCAACGCGCAGAACCUUACCAGCCCUUGACAUGUCACGUAUGGUUACCAGAGAUGGUUUCCUUCAGUUCGGCUGGCGUGAACACAGGUGCUGCAUGGCUGUCGU
rnacentral:rRNA from 1 species